GACGAACGCUGGCGGCGUGCCUAAUACAUGCAAGUAGAACGCUGAAGGAAGGAGCUUGCUCUUUCUGGAUGAGUUGCGAACGGGUGAGUAACGCGUAGGUAACCUGCCUGGUAGCGGGGGAUAACUAUUGGAAACGAUAGCUAAUACCGCAUAAAAUUGAUUAUUGCAUGAUGGUCAAUUAAAAGGUGCAACUGCACCACUACCAGAUGGACCUGCGUUGUAUUAGCUAGUUGGUGGGGUAACGGCUCACCAAGGCGACGAUACAUAGCCGACCUGAGAGGGUGAUCGGCCACACUGGGACUGGGACACGGCCCAGACUCCUACGGGAGGCAGCAGUAGGGCAUCUUCGGCAAUGGACGGAAGUCUGACCGAGCAACGCCGCGUGAGUGAAGAAGGUUUUCGGAUCGUAAAGCUCUGUUGUAAGAGAAGAACGAGUGUGAGAGUGGAAAGUUCACACUGUGACGGUAUCUUACCAGAAGGGGACGGCUAACUACGUG
rnacentral:rRNA from 1 species